AAACCAACAGGGAUUGCCCUAGUAACGGCGAGUGAAGCGGCAACAGCUCAAAUUUGAAAUCUGGCGCAAGCCCGAGUUGUAAUUUGUAGAGGAUGCUUCUAGGCAGCGACCGGUUUAAGUUCCUUGGAACAGGACGUCAUAGAGGGUGAGAAUCCCGUAUGUGAUCGGUUGGCACCUUACACGUAGCUCCUUCGACGAGUCGAGUUGUUUGGGAAUGCAGCUCUAAAUGGGAGGUAAAUUUCUUCUAAAGCUAAAUACUGGCUAGAGACCGAUAGCGCACAAGUAGAGUGAUCGAAAGAUGAAAAGCACUUUGGAAAGAGAGUUAAACAGCACGUGAAAUUGUUAAAAGGGAAGCGCUUGCAACCAGACUUGUCGGCAAUGUUCCGCCGGUCUUCUGACCGGUCUACUCAUUGUCCGCAGGCCAGCGUCGUCUGGGGCCGCCGGAUAAGGGCGUCGGGAAUGUAGCUCCCUCGGGAGUGUUAUAGCCCUUCGCACAAUACGGCGCGCGCCGGGCGAGGUCCGCGCUUCGGCAAGGACGUUGGCGUAAUGGUGGUAAGCGGCCCGUCUUGAAAACACGGAC
rnacentral:rRNA from 1 species